CCUACGGGUGGCAGCAGUGAGGAAUAUUGGUCAAUGGGCGCGAGCCUGAACCAGCAAAGUAGCGUGAAUGAUGACUGCCCUCCGGGUUGUAAACUUCUUUUAUAAAGGAAUAAAGUGAGGCACGUGUGCCUUUUUGUAUGUAUUUUAUGUAUCAAGAUCGGCUAACUCAGUGCCAGCAGCCGAGGUAAUACGGAGGAUACGAGCGUUAUCCGGAUAUAUUGGGUUUAAAGGGAGCGUAGCUGGGAUGUUAAGUCAGUUGUGAAAGUUUGCGGCUCAACCGUAAAAUUGCAAUUGAUACUGGCAGCCUUGAGUACAGGUGAGGUAGGCGGAAUUCGUGGUGUAGCGGUGAAAUGCUUAGAUAUCACGAAGAACUCCGAUUGCGAAGGCAGCUUACUAACCUGCCACUGACAUUGAUGCUCGAAAGUGUGGGUAUCAAACAGGAUUAGAUACCCUGGUAGUC
rnacentral:rRNA from 1 species